AAGAGACAGCAGUCGCCACGGGAAAACGUAGGUGGCAAGCGUUGUCCGGAAUUAUUGGGCGUAAAGGGCUCGCAGGCGGUUUCUUAAGUCUGAUGUGAAAGCCCCCGGCUCAACCGGGGAGGGUCAUUGGAAACUGGGAAACUUGGGUGCAGAAGAGGAGAGUGGAAUUCCACGUGUAGCGGUGAAAUGCGUAGAGAUGUGGAGGAACACCAGUGGCGAAGGCGACUCUCUGGUCUGUAACUGACGCUGAGGAGCGAAAGCGUGGGGAGCGAACAGGAUUAGAACCCGUGUAGUCCCUGUCUCUUAUACA
rnacentral:rRNA from 1 species